GAAGAGGUUCAGUGUAUGUGCCUGGGGUGACCUACAAAGUUCCCCAUCUGAGCAGACAUCACAGCAGAAUCAUAUCUUCACAAUUCUGAAGGCAGAGGUCCAUCAUGCAGUGUUAUCAGGCUUGGGUCCUUCAGCUAUGAUCCAAGCUGCACUCUACUCUGGUGGCGGCUGCUGGCUUCAUAGGGGGCAUUACUCCAGACUCUGCCUCCACUGCCACAAGACAACUUCCCCCUGUGUCUCUGUCUCCAUCUUCCCAUCUGCACACUAGCCAACUGGGCUGGGGGCCACCAUGCCCCAGGACAACCCCAUCCUAACUGUUGAUGCUUGUAAAGACUUCAUUUCUAAAGAAGGUCACACUCACAGGUGCUGGGGGGUGGGAAGUCAACACCCUUUGGGGAUGAUGGGGUCAACGCCUAACCCACAAAGCAGGGAGUCAGUCCCUCUUGAGCCCCAGGCUUGCUGAGCGCUUCCCAGCUCUGGGUCAAAUGCAAUUCACAUCCUCUCUUUUCCUCUUUUGGCAGUUGCUUCUUCUGCCAAAAUUGCCUUUUUCUUGUUCACCUUUGGGCUGCAGAAGAGAGAGAGGCCAGGGUGUGCCGUGCCCCUGGGUCUUGCAUCUGUGGCCUAAGCCUCCAGCAUACAUCCACCCUCCACCCACCCACAGAUGCCCAUCCUUGUCACACACCAUCUGGGUGUGGCCAGCCACCCCUGCGGGGUUGUCUCCACUAAACUCCAGGAGUCUUUUGUUUGAGGGAGGAUAUUUUCGGCAAAGCAAAAAAUAUCUGGGUGAGAAGAAAAUUUCAGCAUCCCAAAGAAAACUAAUAAUUGCCCAUGGCAUCUGUUACUGAGUCUAUUUUUGUAAGGUUCUCUGGUUUGGGGUCCUACCUUGGCUGUGGGUGAUGGAAAGUGAUGUGAGUUUGCACCUGCAGAACUGCGGCCCUGGCGACAUUCCAGGUCUCAUUUCCUUUAUUCAGGGCAAGCUGAUCUCCAAUGUCAAGUUCACUUCUCAUUUCCUACAACUCAGCAGAGAAAGACCAUUAAGUCCCGGAAACUGUGCAGAGAGUAGGACUGGACACUUGCUGGGAGCGACAGCUGCCUUCAGCUUAAGUGCUAGGGACAGCUGAGCAGACAACGCUGGCAGCCAGAGGAGAGGAGACCCAAACUGUUCCUGCUUGAAAUGAGGGUCACCCCUGCUCCUGGUUUUCACCAUUCACAGCCAAGGGGAGGUGGAGCCUUUCCUGGAAAUGGAGGCAGAGCAUGUGCCACCUGUGUUUCGUUCAGGGAGCGAGGGUAGAGUGCCACAUGAGGUCUGGCCCUGGGUCAGUGCCUCCUGGGCCCCUAAGGGCCAUACCCUGGCUUGCUGUAGAAUCCAUGGGAUAAGCUUUGAAACCGAUCCACGUCUGGAGGCCAUCCCAGCUCAAAGGGUGGCUAGAGCCAAGCUUUCUGCAGCUUCCCAGGUGAUCUUAACAUAGCUGGGGCAAGGGCAAGGUUCUCACUUUGUGGGUCUGUCUCUGAAGGUUGCUGUGCCAGGAUGGCACAGUAGCUCCUAUCCUACCCUGCCUGGCAGGGCAGAAGUAGAGUGUCCCCUCUACUCCUCAAGUCAUACCAGGGCCACUGACAUCCUUGCCCCUCUUCCUGGUCUAGCACCCGCUGGCUGCUCUUGAUUCCUCUAUUUUCAGGAUGUAUUUAGAUGCCUCUUUUCAGGAGGACCCCUGACGCACCAGAGCUGAGCUGUGUGAAGCUUUCCCGAAUUGUCCCAGGGUCCAGAGUGGAGCAAGUAUUCCCAACACAGCUGGCGCCAACGGGCAGAACACCCAGGAAGAUUUACCAGAUGGGGACCAUCAGGCGAGCGGCUUAUACCAACAGAAGCUGUGAUAACCAAAAAUCUCUAGAUGUUGCCCUAUGCCUGCUGCUUGGUUUGGAGAUGUCCUCCUCAGCUGAGAGCCCUCACAUUGGAGACUUCAAGGUUACUGAUUAAAAUCACACUGGGACUUGGUAGGGACGUGUGGUUAAUUGGAUAUGGGGAGCAUGGAGGUGGCAUCUGAGGCAAGCCAAGAGCUUCAUUUCUUCAUUAUUUGGAAGCUUCAGACAUUUUCUACAAAUGCGUGGAGUUUGAACUAGAGUCUGUGGUUAUUCCAUCAAAUGCAUCUUCCAGAAGUCUCUAGGCUGCGGUGGCCAUUCCUCCUUUGGCUCGGAGAAGACCUAGCACUGCCUGUUUGUGUUCAGCACACAGCUCCCUGCUGUUCCCUCCACUUGGACACGGAUGACUAAAGAUCUCCAGAGGACUCACCGCUAAGAAUGUGGAACAGUCUGUGGUUGAUGGUCUCCAAGGCCAUGCUCUGCUCCCCCUUCAUCUCUUAGGUGUGUCUGCUCAGAAGUUUGUGUUGAAUGUCUCCAGGGCAGGUCCACCAUGUCUUGUGAAGGGGACACUGUGCCUUUCUUUCCCAUGUGUUGGAAGCUCCACCCACACCCAUGAAGGUGGCCACACACAGGAGGAGGGGUCAGGGGACACCCUCUACUCUGAGAAGAGCCCCAACCAGGAAGACUCAAUUUCACCCUUGAAGGAAUUGGAAGACAGGUCCAACAUUGCUGAUAGUCACUUCAACUCAGACCAGCUAGGAACAAGGUACCCUGCAGACACACAGUGAUGAAUUCAAGAGACUUAAGAGAAAUCCUGGCAGUCUUAUUUUUCUUUCCACAGAACUGGUGUCAGCCCAAACAAAAGGCAAAAUGUCUGACACACUAACCUAGCACAAAGCAGUUAUCUCUAUAUCCUAUCGAGUGCAUACUUUUCCUGGGGUGGAGGAUGGUCUUAAGACUGUCUGAUAUAGUCCCCACCUGUGGUGGUUUGAAUGAAAAUGACCCCCCACAGGCUCACAGGGAGUGGUCCUACUGGGAGACAAGGCUUUGUUGGAGGAAGUGUGUCACUGCGGGUGGGCUUUGGGGUUUCAGAAGCCCAAACCAGGUCAAGCAAUGCUCUCUCUUCACAGCAAUAAAACUGAGACAGAAGUUGGUACCAGGGACUGGGGCAUUGCUGUGAUAACCCUGAUCAUGUUUGGGGUCUGUGGAUUAGAAAAGCAGGCUUAAUGGGCCAUACUAAUAGGAGCAUGGGAGACAGUGGUGCUGCUGAGGGGGAUUUGAACUGGGCACCUGGUCAAGACGUUUCAGAGAUGAAUUUUAAUAUGUGGAUUAUGAUAUUUUGGAGAAGAAUGUGGUUGCUUUCUGACCUUUAUUCCAACUCGCAUCAGGGUUUUUCUUAAUCUGUUUACACUUCUUGGUGUCCCUUUUCUAUACAGACUAUGCACACACCUUUAAUUCCCACAUUCUGGGGGCAGAAGCAGGUGAGUCUCUGAGUUUGAGGCCAGCCUGGUGUAUGUAUUGAGUUCAAGGACAGCCAAACUUAGUGAAGGAAGCUAUUGCAAACAAAAAGUUGGUGAAAAUGUAUUCAAACAAGGGGUCCAUGCUCCAGUCCCAGCAGGCAGCAGAAUUUGAUACCUUUGGCCAUAUGGUUCUGGCUUUAGAGACAAGGAUAGGAGAAAAGGGUUAUGGAAUCUCCCUCUGCAAGUAAGGAAAGCCGCUGACACUAGGCCAAGAGAGGCCAUGGGUGAAGCCAUGAACAUGAAGCCUGGAUCAGCUUGGAGACUCUAAGAUGUUGGAGACGCCAGAGCCACGGGAUACCUACCAAGGAGAGCGGCUAAAAGAGGGUGGGACCACCCUAAGAGAAAGAAGGGUGUUGCAGUCAAUAAAGCUGAAAAGAGUUGGAGAUCUGAGGGCUUCUUGGGCACUUUGACAUCAGCCUUAGAGAUGCAGAGUUUGGAGUUUACCCAGCUGGUUUUCAGUCAAGUUUUGGUUCAGUAUUUCCUCAUCAUGUUCCUGGUUCCUUUCUUCCCUUUUGGAAUGGCAAUGUAUAUAC